rnacentral:rRNA from 1 species
AAGCGACCAAGCGUACACGGUGGAUGCCCUGGCAGUCAGAGGCGAUGAAGGACGUGCUAAUCUGCGAAAAGCGCCGGUAAGGUGAUAUGAACCGUUAUAACCGGCGAUGUCCGAAUGGGGAAACCCAGUGUGACUCGUCACACUAUCAUUAACUGAAUCCAUAGGUUAAUGAGGCGAACCGGGGGAACUGAAACAUCUAAGUACCCCGAGGAAAAGAAAUCAACCGAGAUUCCCCCAGUAGCGGCGAGCGAACGGGGAGGAGCCCAGAGCCUGAAUCAGCAUGUGUGUUAGUGGAAGCGUCUGGAAAGGCGCGCGAUACAGGGUGAGAGCCCCGUACACAAAAGCGCAUAUGCUGUGAGCUCGAUGAGUAGGGCGGGACACGUGGUAUCCUGUCUGAAUAUGGGGGGACCAUCCUCCAAGGCUAAAUACUCCUGACUGACCGAUAGUGAACCAGUACCGUGAGGGAAAGGCGAAAAGAACCCCGGCGAGGGGAGUGAAACAGAACCUGAAACCGUGUACGUACAAGCAGUGGGAGCCUCUCUUUAUGGGGGGUGACUGCGUACCUUUUGUAUAAUGGGUCAGCGACUUAUAUUCUGUAGCAAGGUUAACCGCAUAGGGGAGCCGAAGGGAAACCGAGUCUUAAC